rnacentral:rRNA from 1 species
ACUCACGCGGGAAUCUUACCGGGUCCGGACACACUGAGGAUUGACAGACAAAUACACACACUUUUACGGUGUGUGCAUGAAAUAUGCUAGUUCUUUCAUGAUUAUGUGAUAGGUGGUGCAUGGCCGUUCUUAGUUCGUGGAGUGAUCUGUCUGCUUAAUUGCGUUUCACUAAAGGCACAUACACAUAAUAUUGAUGUGUUGUGUAUAAUUUAUAAUUAUAUCGCAUACACACAUAUUAUAUUGUGCUUUGAAAGCAACGAACGUGACCGCAACCUCUUGUUGCCUGUAUAUAUGUGUAUUUUAUACACACCACAGGCUAUUAUAAACUAGAGGGACCGCUGUUACUUUCUUUUAAACCAGAGGAAGGUUGCGGCAAUAACAGGUCUGUGAUGCCCUUAGAUGUUCCGGGCUGCACACGUGCUACAAUGAUCAUUGCAGUGCGCAUCUCAUUUUGUUAUACACUGCUUGUGCGUAUGUGCAUCACAUAUAUUUAUAUGUGUGUGUGUAUGUAUUGCACGCAGUAAAGCCUACUUCGAAAGUUGUGGGUAAUCAAUUUGAAGUAAUGAUUUCUCCAAAUAUAUACUGCACACUCAUAUACAGUGUCUUAUGUCCAUGAAAAUAUUUUAUUUUUGUGUGUGCAUUCGAUGCUCGUAUGUGCAAUUGUCAAUUCAUGGUGGGGACAGACCAUUGUUAAUUGUUGGUCUCGGUCUUAACUAGGAAUGCCUUGUACGGGUCUUUGGUUCAACAAACCACCCGGAAUACGUCCCUGCCCUUUGUACACACCGCCCGUCGCUCUUACCGAUGGACUUCUCUGUGAGUUUGAGGGACUGGAUUUUAUAUCUAUGGAAACUCAAACGAACAGUGUGGU